GAUGACUCACUUGGAUCUUUCAUAUAACAAGAGGACCAAAUAAUCAGAUGAUUCCCAGUGUUCACCUGAACGUUUUACGUGAUGGAAGUGCCACAAGCCACAGUCAACUAACAUUAAAUUAGUACAUCUUGGGGCAUCACAGUUACACCUUUGCCCAGCUCUACCAUCAGGAGUUAUAUCUACUGUCAUCAUGACCAUACUUCAGAAGGCCACUUGAGUAGUGAACACCGACUUUGAUCAGGGCAUUUAUAUCAUCUAGAUCUGUUAGUUUCUUAAUUUGCUAGUAAUAAUAAUAGCAACUAUUUAUUAAAUUGUAAUUAUUUGCCAUGCGCUGACGUAGGUGCUAUGUAUGUAUUAUCUCAUUUAAUCCUCACAAGAACUGAAGAGGUGCAUUGGAUUGGCACAGUAUUACAGAUGAGGAAACUGACCAGGUACUAUGCUGGUCACUUUUUCAUAUAAAAGACUCACAUCGAAUUCCAGUCAAGAAGCUUCAAGGUAAACUCCGCUAUGAAGCCCAUUCAUGCAUUUCCUAGCGUUACGGUUCAGCUUCCGAUUAAGGCAAUAUGUUUAAAACCUGUAUUGGGUUCUGGAAUUAGAUAGUGGUAAUGGUUGCACAACUCUGAAAAAAUACUGAAAAGUAGUGAAUUAUACACUUCAAAAGGGUGAAUUUUAUGGUAUGAGAGUAAUAUCUCAGUUUAAAAACACUGUAUUGGACUAAUUCAAAUGGCUUC